AUAUGCGUCAAUCCCCACCGGCGCUUUUCUUCUGUUUUCUUCAUCUUCUUCCGCUUCUCUUCCCAUCUCGUCCUCCUCUUUCAUUUUAGCUUCAACGUCGCUUUUCUCAACGUAAUGGAACAUCCAAAUCUGGAUAUUAAUGUAGAAAAACAUUGAAUGAUUUCCAAAAAUUCCAAGAGAGAAUUAUAAAAUUUGAAUUGAAUUUUCUUCUUCGUUUUAAGUUGCCUCCGUCCAUAUUAAGAAGUAUAAUACAUACAUAUAUGUACACACACGUUGGUGCACGCGAGCAUUUAACUUUAUUAUUCUUUAUAAAUUAAAGGU